rnacentral:lncRNA from 1 species
AUGAAAGAAAAAGGAAGGAGAAAAGAGGGGGGAAGGGACAAAAGAGGAUACCCCCAUUUUUCCACUCACGGGAAUGAGGAGAAUAAGAGAGAGAUGGAAGGAAUUAUUUCUUCAUUCACACCCUCUUCACUCCCAAAUCAACAGAAAGAAAUAAAGAGAGGAGAGAAAUAGAGAGAAUCAGAAGAAGAAGAAGAAGAAUAAGAAGAAAAGAAAAGGUAUUUCUAAAUUUUUUUGAUUUAUUCUUAGAUUUAUGAAUAUUUUUUUUGAGUACAUAUUUAUGUAUGUAUUGAAUGAUUUAAACUUGCAAAAACAUGAAUUAAAUGAGAGAAAUCAAGAAAUCAAGUGAAAAACGAAAUCUGGAAAUUUUCAUGAAAAGUUAGUUUACUACUUGAUUUUGUAAAAUUCAUAACUCUUUGUGUAUAAUGAGUUAGGAGAUGAUCCAUAUAUCAAAAGAAAGCCCCAGAAGUAAACUAAACGCAAAAAUUUGAAUCACUCAAAAAUUCUUUGUGAAUUUUCAAUGGUGACUGUUUGAGUGAAACUGGUACGAAGGACUCAUAGUCCGAAAAAUCAGUGUUCUUGACCUCUAUUGCGUGAAUUAUAAUUUUCAAUCCGACCAUUGGAUCGUUGUAAUUUUUGGAUAUGUUAUACAUAUAUAAGUUGAGUAUAUGUCCACAAAUUUUGAACCGUUAGAGAUUAACUUAUAAUUUGUUAUGAAUUUCGUGAGGUGACUGAUUCAUAUUUUUUGUAGCAGAAUUUUCGAUAGGCCUUUCUCUCUAUGUUAGAAUCGGAUUUUGGGAAAACUUUCUUCUACAAAGUUGUAGAGAAUUAGAUUUUACAUGGAAAGGGCAUAAGAUCCUUAUUUUUCUGAUAAAAGGAUAAUUAUUAUGAAUUACUAAAAUUUCUGAAUAUUAGAGUUUGUAAUUAAAUUAUUAGAAAAAUUAUUUGGGUUGAGAUAUUUUUACAUAAUUCUUAUAAUAUCAGUUUAGAGUUUCUGUAAAUUUUUGAUGAAUUAUUGAAAAGCAGAAGUAAUUAUUAUAUUUUUAAACUAUUUAUAGUUAGUUUAAAAAUAGAAGAAAUUCAUAGAAAAUUCUAUGAAUGAUGAAAAAUUAUGAAAGUUGAUGAAAAAUCUUAUAAUAUUAUUGUAUAAUUUCUGGACAGUUUUGGAAAAUUAUUGAACAACAUAAAUAUUUAUUGCAUUUUUAAACUGUUUAUGGUUUGUUUAAAAAUAGAGGAAAUUCAUAGGAAAUUCUAUGAAUGGUGGAAAAUUAUGAAUUUUUUUGAAAAAUAUUAUAAUAAUAUAAGAUUAAUAUUUAUGAUGUUUUAAAGAUAUAAAAGUAUGUGGAGUUAGUAUUUUUAUUUUGAAGCUAUUAAAUGAUAGUUUUUAUAAAUAGAAAUAAUUAUAGAAAAUUGUUGGAUAAUCCGAAAAAUCUGAAAAUUGUUUAGAAAAUUCAGAAUCAUAUUUUUUAAAUAUUUUAGAAGUGUUAGUAAGCUCAUGAGGUGUCGGGAUGUAAAUGCACUAGUAACGAAUGAGUUAUGAUAAGAACAAAAAUAAUAUUUUUGUUAAAGUAAAAAUGGUGAUAAUACCAGAAUAGUGGAUUGUCAUAUAUGAGGUUUUAGAUUCCUCAAGUUUUAUUAUUCACUUAUAAUGUUUUGGAAUAUGAAUAAUAAUUUUAUGCGAUAAAUAAAGAUAACUUGAAUGAAUAAUGACUUAUUAGUUUGUUUAUAUGUUAUUUGAGAUAAAUAUGUUUUGGUGUUGAUCCCUAUUUUUAAUAGAAUUUAAAUUAUUUAUAGUAAGGUAUUGAUUUGAUUCUUACGUAAGAAGUCACUAUGUAUUUCAUUCAAUAAUUAUCACAGUAGUUAUUGCACAGUGAUUCAUAUUAUUGUUUCUUAAUUACGUAAGAAGUCACUCAGUCUUUCAUUCAAUAAUUGUCACAGUAGUUAUUGUACAGUGACUCAUAUUAUUUGAUAUGAUAUAAUUAAACCAGUUGGCAGUAUUGUGAGUCUAUGUUAAUAAUCAUGAAUAAUAGUUGAAGGAUUUAAGAUGUGUAAAUAAUUGAUGAAUAAAAGGUGUUGAUUAAAGAUAAGUAUGAUAUACAAACGUUUGUUCAAUUAUUUUCUUUUUACAAAAGUAAAUUGGCAGGACUUGCCGACACUCUACUUUAUCUAAAGUAGUAUGGACCACAACUCUAUUAUUGAAUAAAUUUUGUUAAAACGUGUACAAGUUGGUUUAAUUUUCUCUAUGGGACCAUAAAUUCCACUACCAUUAUAAUAUACCUCAUUUGGUUAUUUUGUCAAAGCAGGUGUGCGUUGUUUACUAAGUUUUCAGUAUAAAUAAGUUGCUCGGUUGAGUAACUAAACACACACCAUCACUACACUAAAAAUAUAGAAUUCUUUUAUUUCAAUAUUCUGAGUAUAAUAUUGUGAGUAUUUCUAUUGAGUAUAAUGUUACUCCAAGUGUAGAUAAGGAAUGCAAGCAUUGUUUAAGUUGAUCAAUUUCACAGAAAGCAAAAUCAAGUCAUAUGCUAAGGUAAGGAAUAUCAUUAUUGUGGUAAGAGGGUAUCAUUUUUAUGGUAAAAGGAAUAUCAUUUUCUUUCAUACUCCAUGUUAUGGUAAGAUAUUAUUAUUCGUUUAUUCAGUUUAUCAUUAAAUGGUGGAAAGUCCUGAAAGGAUUAGAAUAUCCUUAAUAGUUUGUGAUUCAUCUAUUAUUAUGUUAUCAAUUUGGACUCUGGAGAAUUAAGUUGAAAAUCACUAAGAUCUAUGUUAUCUUAUUAUUCUGAUGAUUUAUGUUUAUUCAUUAUAUAUAUCAUUGUCAUCAUUCUCAUACUUAUAUUGUGUUGAAAGUCAUCUAUGGCCAGUAGUGCAUAGAUGGACUUGGUAUGAUUAUGACCAGGGAUUAUUCGGUAUAAUCAUGACCGUAAUGUUACAAAUGAUGUGGUAAAAAUCAUCUUUGGCCCGAAGUGCAUAGAUGUACUUGGUAUGAUUAUGACCAGGGAUUAUUUGGUGUAAUCAUGACCUUAAUUGAAAACACGAAUAUCCUUGACCCGUAGUGCAUCGAUAAUUCGUGGCCGUGAUACUAUUAAGCUGAGUCUCGGCAUUAUUGGUUUUACAGUUGUAUAUCUUUGGCCUGUAGUGCAAAGGUGGACUGUUAGUUAUUGGUUUUACAGUUGUAUGAACUAUUGAUUUACCUGAUUAUUAAUAUGAAUUGUGAAUUUAAUUAUAAUCUGUGGUGGUUCAGGUGAAGACAGGUGAUGAGAGUUCUCUUUGUCUUGGGUAUAACAAAGAACUAUUGAUGAGUAUUACAGGAAUGAAAUAUUAAUGAUGGACUUUUAUUCUAGAGGAGAUAGUAGACAUUAUGUUCUACUUGACUCUUCUAAUGGAUUGUUGAUUCCGCUGCUAUUAUGGUUGAAAACUUUUAUCUUCUACCACAUGUUCUAAAUAUAUGAAUUAUUAUUGAUGAAG